GUCACUGGCUGCACGUUCUUUUGGCGCUUGCAUUUGAGCAUAGAAGGCUGCGUUAUCUGCUUGAGUGUAAACGAAAGCUGUGCCUGAAUCCACUGUUAUCACGGAGCUAAAAGCAGUGAAUUCCGUUAAAAUGAAGCCUGUAGCAGUCCAUUUAUUCACUGAAUGGUAAUUGAAAGAAAUGAUUUGGCCUUAUUUAUAGGUCAGGUUUUGGUAAAGAGUUGGAAACAUCGUGCAGAGAUCCUUUCCACGGAGUGAUACAGAUCCACACGUUCCAGACGUUCUCCCAGAGAUUCAUAGAUUCCCAGUCCGGGUGGCUGGGUGGCGAGCCAGCCGUGUUUGUGACUCUGACUUUAGACGAACUGCCUGGAUCAUCCUCUUCAUCUUCGUUGUGGUAGGACAAAAACUAAUUCAGAGUUAAAAAAAAAGGGCCCCAACGGUGAAACUGAACUUUUGUCAACCAAGGCUAAACGAACCGAGGACGAACUGAGCUCAACGAUUUUGAUACGAGAGGGUUUUGUUUUGUUUUUGUGCGCACUUUAUUAUUUUAGUUUGUUAUUUUUCAUAAAUGUGUUUUUGCUUGUAUGUAUGUUUCACCCUGUGAAUUUAAUACAGGUUUGUCUAAACUGUCAUUCUGGUGUGGUAUUCCUUUUUAAUUGAUCUUCAAUUCUCAGGCUCUUAACAAUUUAGCGUCUUCUGAUUCUGGUCCAAAUCGUAUUUAUGAUAACCUCUAUGACUACUUUAGACUAUUAAAUCUAUGUACGUUAUUACUACCUCGUAAUAAGGGUUACACCAAC